UUUCCGUUGGUGAACCAGCGGAAGGAUCAUUACAGAGAUCGUGCCCGUCGGGGUAGACCUCCCACCCUGUGUUAUUUACGUAUGUUGCUUUGGCGGGCCGCCUCCGGGCUCUCGGCUUCGGCCGAGGUGUGCCCGCCAGAGAACCCACAACCCUGUGUUUAGUGUCGUCUGAGUAUUAUCAAAUAAGUUAAAACUUUCAACAACGGAUCUCUUGGUUCUG
rnacentral:misc_RNA from 1 species